GGGCUGUUGGUCUAGUGGUAUGAUUCUCGCUUUGGGUUCCCUGAUUGGAUGAAACACAAUUCUGCGAGAGGUCCCGGGUUCAAUCCCCGGACAGCCCC